UUUCUAAGCACGUGAAAGCGUGUGACCCUUCGGGGAACUUCCACAGGUGCUGCAUGGCCGUCGUCAGCUCGUGUCGUGAGAUGUUGGGUUAAGUCCCGCAACGAGCGCAACCCUUGUGACUAGUUGCCAGCACGUAAUGGUGGGGACUCUAGUCAGACUGCCCAGAUCAACUGAGAGGAAGGUGGGGACGACGUCAGGUCAGUAUGGCCCUUACGCCUUGGGCUGCACACGUACUACAAUGCCCAGCACAAUGAGAACCGAUACCGCGAGGUGGAGGAAAUCUAUAAAACUGGGCCCAGUUCGGAUUGGA
rnacentral:rRNA from 1 species